AUGGCCGGGAUUUGCCGGGUACGGGGUCCUGGGUGGUUUGGGGCAGAACUGGUGAAGAUUUGGGGCUGGGAUGAGGCGGCCGUGACCCUGCUGGAGUGCGGGGGGGACCUCCAGCCCCCCGGGGGGUCCCUGACUCUGCUCUGCCAUGGGUCUGGGUUCACGUUUGGGAGUUUUGGCAUGUACUGGGUCCGCCAGAGCCCCGGGAAGGCGCUGGAAUGGCUCGCAGGGAUCAGCAGCAGUGGCAGCACCUACUACGCGCCAUCAGUCAAGGGCCGGUUCACGAUCUCCAGGGACAACGGGCAGAGCUCGGUGACACUGACCAUGAACAACCUCAAGGACGAGGAUUCCGCCGUUUAUUUCUGUGCCAAAGAUGCUUACGGUGGUGGUGGUCCUGCUGGUGCUGCUUAUGCUGUUUGGUUGGCUGUUUCACGUUCAUGCCAAAUCCCAGCACCCAGUCCCACCUGUCCCUAA